rnacentral:lncRNA from 1 species
CACUGUUGGUAAGGGGCAGAAUUAAGACUAAAUCCAGGCUCAUGUGACCCCUCCCUCCAACCUUGAUUCUGGGGCACAUAUCUUUAUCAGGUGGAUAUGAUAGGAACAAUGAUGGGGAUGCAAAUAAAGGACUAACAUCUAGGACUGAAUCUGGACACUUGUAGCUGAAUUGAGGAGCCUGAGCACAUUAAUGUUGAAAAUGGAAUCUGGUCACCUGCAGAAGCUCGAGACUGGUUCACUCUCAGUGGGCCCAAGGGUCAGGAAGAGUUUCUCUGAAGAGAGCACAGGAAUGAAAACAGAGGCUAAGAAGGCGUUCACGGGGCUUCGGGCUGGAGGAAGGAUGUGAGUUAGGGCUGCAUGUAUACUGACUGCAGCCCAAGGCUCAGCCCCGUCUCCUGGCAGCCCCGCCCCUGAAGGCCCUGCAGAGUUAGCAAAGCUGCAGGCAAGGGCAGUCCAACCGAGGUUCCCGAGCCCGAGACCUUGCAUAGUGACCCACUGCGUCCCAACCCGGCCGGGCGCGCACGUAUCUUUGGGCCAUCAGCGGCGGUGCAACUUCCCUAGAAGACAACUUUAGUCCAACCUGCGGGCUCGGUGCAGGGGAGCGCUGAGCCCCUCAGGGAACUCGCGCUCAGGUGGAGGAUCCCUGCCCUAUUGCAGCGGCUCAAAGGAGGACUUGGGGGCAGCCGGCGAUAGUGCCUGGGAUGUCGGACAAUUUGGGUCCCCCAAGAAGAGGACGAGGACAUCCCGGGAGCCUCGGAAGAGGAGG